rnacentral:misc_RNA from 1 species
AAGUCGUAACAAGGUUUCCGUAGGUGAACCUGCGGAAGGAUCAUUAACGACCUCGUGCCCUCUAGGGUACACCCCCCACUCUUGCCCACCACACUGUGGUAGUAAAUCAGUGAUAUUAUCUAAGUACGGUCUGAGUGACUAUUAGAAUAUUAAAACUUUCAACAACGGAUCUCUUGGCUCUC